UACGAAGGGGGCGAGCGUUGUUCGGAAUCACUGGGCGUAAAGCGUGCGUAGGCGGUUGUGAAAGUUAGGAGUGAAAGCCCAGGGCUCAACCCUGGAAUUGCUCUUAAAACUACACGGCUCGAAUUCGGGAGAGGAUAGCGGAAUUGUCAGUGUAGCAGUGAAAUGCGUAGAUAUUGACAGGAACACCAGUGGCGUAAGCCGGCUAUCUGGACCGACAUUGACGCUGAGGCACGAAAGCGUGGGGAUCAAACAGG
rnacentral:rRNA from 1 species